rnacentral:rRNA from 1 species
GAUGAACGCUGGCGGCGUGCCUAACACAUGCAAGUCGAGCGAUCAGACGAGUAGCUUGCUCCUCUGACGUUAGCGGCGUACGGGUUAGUAACACGUGGAUCACCUACCUAUGAGAAUGGGAUAACUUCGUUUAAUAGUAGCUCAUACCAGAUAAUAUAUUGAACCGCAUGGUUCAAUGGUGAAAGACGGUUUUGCUGUCACUUAUAGAUUGGUCCGCGCCUGAUUAGGUAGUUGGUAAGGUAACGGCUUACCAAGGCAACUAUGCGUAGCCGACCUGAGAGGAUGAUCAGCCACACUGGAACUGAGACACGGUCCAGACUCCUACGGGAGGCAGCAGUAGGGAAUCUUCCGCAAUGGGCGAAAGCCUGACGGAGCAACGCCGCGUGAGUGAUGAAGGCCUUCGGGUCGUAAACCGCUUUUAUUAGGGAAGAAAAGAUGUCUAAUUAACUAUGCAGGUCUUGACGGUACCGAAACAGUAAGCCACGGCUAACUACGUG